GCCGGGCAUGGUGGCGCAUGUCUGUAAUCUCAGCUACUUGGGAGGCUGAGGCAGGAGAAUCGCUUGAACCCAGGAGGCGGAGGUUGCAGUGAGCCCAGAUCGUGCCACUGCACUCUAGCCUGGGCAAUAGAGAGAGACUCUGUCUCAA
ensembl:misc_RNA Metazoa_SRP Metazoan signal recognition particle RNA